AGGGCGUCUGGGAGGUGGGGCGGGGCCUCGCCCGCGCACCUCGCAGCAGCCCCUGGAGGGCGGGCGGCCGCUGCGCCGGGCGACCCAGGUGCCGCAGCGCCGGGGCUGUGCGCCCUGGCCCCGGCCUCCGGACCCCGCUCACCGCCGUGGCGCGCCCCCGGGAUUCCGUCCCCCACACGGGGAGCGCUCCCUAAAGGGGGGUCUCCGCGUUUCUGAGCUGCGUCAGGGCCCGCGUACUGCCGCCUCCCCCGGGGUACACUAGCCUAGGUUCUGGAGGGUGAAGUCAGCCCCGCUGAGUGAGAAGAGGCUUGAAUCAUCAGUUACCUGGUCGUCUUGGGGCUGCUGUAGUAUGCAGUGAGAUACGGUUGUUUAUGUAAAGAACUUAGCUCAAGGCCCGGCACGCUCCAGACAGGUGAGCUGCCAUCACCCUCGACUGCCGCGGCUGCUCCCACCACCACUACUUCAUCAUCAUCACGGAGUCUUGGUUGCCUUGCUAGUGAAGCCAAGGAGUUCAGGGGUUGCUGUAGACGAUCUCCAUGUUUCCUCGCAGCUGCAACUUUCCAACGUCUACCUCAACACUGAUCACUCUACUCAAAUCUAGGGGGUACCUGCUGGAGUUUGCAACAGUUGAAGCAGCAGUACAAUUUCAAGUUACCAGAAAGCUGGCCCUUUCCACCUGGAGAGGAAAGUGUAAGAGCUCCUUCCUGUGCUGGGUGCCUCCUGCUUUCAAUGCAAAGAACCCUCCCCGGCCCUCCCCCACUCCACACAGUCCUUACAGCCACUCUGCCAGGCCUGUUAAAUAAUGACACAUAAAAGCUUUAUUUACAUUUCUUCUGUUUCCACACUCCAAAGGCUCCUCUGCAAAGGGUAAAGGGCGCCAUUCCCAGCAUCUCCCUAAAGGAAAUUUCAGCCCUUUGGUCAGGAAGUGGGCUCCCCUUGUGAGAGAAGAAUGCAAAGCAUUCAAGGCUUUCUGGGGGCUGGGAGUUGUGUCCCUCCUGUCUCCCCACUGUGAAUUCAGGAGAAAGAAGAGUCUGAAUAAAGUUCCAGAAGCGAUAGGAAUAGCACAUCCUGGGUGAGGAAUUCAAGCUUCGCCUCUGCAGAAAAUGUAACCACAGACGGCUCACCCUGUCUGUGGGCCCUCACAGAGCUCACUUACAUUGUGAUGAGCGUGACUGAGAACUGGGCACCAAACAACAGGUUUGCCCUUGAUUGUUUUCCCCAACAACAGAAGCAGAACUGAAUGGUGCCCACCGGCCUGGGGGACCUAGUGGCAACAUGGCUUGGAAGGCGAAGCUGUCAGUCUCGCUUCUGCAAGGACUGGCCGUGUGAACACUAGGCACUUCUUGGAAGGAGCCCUGACAUCAAAGGUGAUGCGCAUCUGCCUUGCCUUCUGGAACCCAGCCUGCCUGCUAGACAGCGCCUCGCAGGAAGCCCCCUGCCCAGCACGCUGCUCCGGGCGCACACUCUGCACCUGCAGGCGCCUCUGGAACCCCCGAACCCUGCCUGGGUGCGGGGAAGCCCAGAGCGUAGGUGGUGGCUCUGGCCAGCCAGGUGGCUCAGGGCGCAGGAAACUGAACAUGGGACACGUGUCUGCCCACAGCAUCUUCAAACUUGUACACGGAUGUCAACGAGAUCCCCUUCGUGUCUGCAAACACUACUCGCUUCUUGGGUCUCUGGGGUUCAUGCAGUCGUACCAGGAAGGAGUAGAAGGAGGCCUGGGACUGCAGCUCUACCAGGCCAGGCCGCGGGAGCUGCUGCGGGGAAGGGCUGUGGCUGAGGCAGAGGUGCAUGGGGCUAUACACAGAAGACACGCUGGCAGCACUGGGACCUGUGACAAAAGGGGAAGGAAGUUCUGAUGACAGAGCAGAAGGACCAGGCCUUCUCAACUGCAGCUUGCCACAUCACUGCCCUUCUCCUCCCCUGGGUCCCCAGCCCACAAGUGUCUGAUGAAACUGAAUAAAAAGCAGCACAGAGUCCCCCGGUGCAUAGUUGUGUAUUCUAGUUGUGAGUGCCUCUGGUU